rnacentral:tRNA from 1 species
GAUCCUGUAGCUCAGCCUGGUUUAGAGCGCCGGUCUUAUAAGCCGGAGGUCCGGAGUUCAAAUCUCCGCAGGAUCA